rnacentral:rRNA from 1 species
AGUGAACGCUGGCGGCGUGCCUAACACAUGCAAGUCGAACGGGCUAGUGCUUCGCACUAGUCUCUUUCUGGGGUUGUUACUCUAAGGCUACCUGCUAAAGUUAUUGCUUUAAAGCAGGGGUUUUAGGAGACUUUCCCCGAAAGGGGCCAGUGCGGAGCACUGGCCAGUGGCGAACGGGUGAGUAACACGUGGGUAAUCUACCCUCGAGUGGGGAAUAAGCUUCCGAAAGGGGGUCUAAUGCCGCAUAACGUUUCAUAACGAUGGUUAUGAAACCAAAGCCCAAAAGGCGCUCGAGGAGGAGCCUGCGUCCUAUCAGCUUGUUGGCAGGGUAAUGGCCUACCAAGGCUAUGACGGGUAGCCGGCCUGAGAGGGUGUCCGGCCACACUGGAACUGAGACACGGUCCAGACUCCUACGGGAGGCAGCAGUGGGGAAUUUUGCGCAAUGGGGAAACCCUGACGCAGCGACGCCGCGUGGAGGAUGACGGCCUCGGUUGUAACGUACCUGUCAGAAGGACGAA